UUUUUGGUAACAAAAACAUGGAAUAUGAGGGUAAUAACCAAACAAGGCACAAUAAUGGUAAUAAGGUUUGCUAUAUGUGAUGUAUAGGUAAAAAUCCCGGCUCUAAAUACUAUAAAACUAAAUCACAUAUCUAAAGUAAAUUCUGUAUUUGAAUCUAAAUGCUGAUAACAUGAAAGAAGAAUUGUGCAGCAUUUUACUUCAUACAAUUCCCAAACUAACUUAACAACAAUUACAAUGAGCUUUAAUCCGAACUUUUUUCAUAUAAGCAAUAAGCAAAAUCUUGUAAGGUCAGCAGGCCAACUAUUUAAAAUCCAGAAAUCUGCAGCUAUCAAACAAACAAAGACCAAACUCAAACAUUUUAUACCAUAUCCACAACAAAGAAAGCUAAUAGAAUUCACCCAAAACUAAAAUAUUACAAGACGUGAGUAGAUGGAGAAACAAGGAAAAAUAAGAAAUCAGUAACUCGAAUAAUUUUCACCAUGAAUCCAUGCUCACGUUUUCACAUUACACUUCAAAAGUUAGCCAUGAUUCGAGAAGUACCUGGAAUGCAAUAGAGAAACAAAGAGGAAUGAGAAGUUAUUAGCAGCAGCGAAAUAGUGCAAAUCAACAAAUCCACAACAGAAAAUUCAACUUCCUUAAAUCAUUUCGAGCCCAGAAUGAACCAAAGAUUACUUCAAACUUUAAAACCCAAAGAAUUACAAAAAAAAAAGCUUCAAUGUAACUGUAUUUUGUGAUUGGUUUUUGUAUUUUCUUCUGAUUCUUCAAACUUUUUAGUGUUUAGUGUUUUUUAGCUGUUUCCAACUUCGAAGGACUAAUCUCUACCUAAUUUUUACUAAAACAUGCUUUAUAUAGGGGACUUUUAGGGCAACAGAAAUUAGUUCACCAAUUUGUCAAUUACUCAUUCUCCAAUUUUUAUUUUUUUCAUUUUAAACCCCAAUUUUCUAACAUGUUUGACAAACCAAUCCCUUCCCCCACUUUCCUGGAAGCUUCUCAAUCAGUUACACAAGAAUCUCCUACUUAAAAUUCCUAGACUACCCCUUAAACCCUCUGUUUUUACCCCAGCCUACCACGUGGGUCAAGUUGACCCAGUAAAUUAAAUCCAAAUGAACGGCCUUCUCUUGCCAAUGGGUCAAAAAUGACCCAAAGCCCAAAAAACAACUGAUCCAAACUAAAAUUAAUCAAUAUAGAAGGCAUAAGAAAACGAAGAAACAAAUGAUUUCAAAAUUAAAAAUCGAACCUAAAUGACUAAUUUUCCUUUUAAACUAAAUAACGAGCAUAAUUAAACUAUAUUACCUAAUCAACCACAGCUAAUUAUACAAUAAGAAGAAUAAAAAAUUGUGACCCAAAUAAAAGCUAAACAUGAAAGAUACACAAAUCAAACAAAAUUAACGAAAAUUUAAAAUAAAACUGGAACACCCUAUAGAAUAAAUACGAACACCAAAUAUUUAAAGUGAAAAUCCCAGGUUUAAAACUUUCAUUGACUUUCCAGCCAAAAAAAUAAAACACUCAAGAAGUGGAGAAGAAAAGAAAGGAGUACGAAGACGAAACAACACAAAAGUAGACAUAAGGAAAAAAGAAUAAAGAAAGCUUACCGACUAAACUCGACACCAACGCUGGACUCCUCGAUUUUACAUAACCAGUAUUAAUCGCGUGUUCUUAGUCAAGAACAAGCGACCAACACUGCUUUGUGCCAGAUUAGAAUUUAAAAACUUGAAAAUUCGGAUGCCUGUGGUCAUGCAUGCCACAAAAUCAAAGGUAGAGCGAUUUGAGGUUUUAGGGUUUUCUGGGGUUAGAGGCGAUGAGGAUUGAUAUGAGGGGUUCUGAGGGGAUGGGGGCUAUUUUGGAC
rnacentral:lncRNA from 1 species